UGGAACAGUCCCAGUCCAUAGUCCUCUUGGUUAUUACAGAACCUUAUUACAGCAAUGGAAUGGCUUAAUGACAACUGAAACUGCAUAAUACACUCAUGAGACAAACAGUUCAUAGGUGGCCUUCAGACAUGUAUUAUUCUCGUCUUUAAUCUUGUUUGUUUAUCAUCGCGUCCUUGGGAAACACUCCAGUCCAGUCCGCUUGGUUUUAAUAUUACAGAACCUAUUACAGCAAUGGAAUGACUUCAUGCCAACUGAAACUACACAUCACACAUGAGACACGUUCAGUUCAUAGGUGGCCUUCAGCAUGUUCUCGUCUUGUUUCAGUUGUUUGUCACAGUCUACCUGCGCGCGUCCUUCUGUAGCAUGGAAAGAGAAAAUAAUAAAUAAAGCUACAUCCCCUUUUUAACGACCACUAGGGUUAUGAUGGUAUGUGGUAGCGUGGUAGUCGUCGAGCGCUGGUCCCGGAUGUUAAGGCCUCAGGACAAGUGAACACUCGUUCCGAGGUUUGUGACCAGAAGGGCGUUACUUGUGUGAUGAAUUAUGGAAGGUGGGAGGAUUUCCGUGGGAACCACUUUUGAGACAGCAUUAAGAAACUGGAUGGUGAUAAUGUACUAUGGGGGAGGGAUGUGUGUAUGGUUCAGUAAUCUCAAAUGAGCAGCUAAACAGGCUCCAAAUGAUAA